AACGAACGCUGGCGGCAUGCCUAACACAUGCAAGUCGAACGAAGUCUUCGGACUUAGUGGCGCACGGGUGCGUAACGCGUGGGAAUCUGCCCUUGGGUGCGGAAUAACUUCUCGAAAGGGAUGCUAAUACCGCAUAAUGUCGUAAGACCAAAGAUUUAUCGCCCAAGGAUGAGCCCGCGUAAGAUUAGCUAGUUGGUGGGGUAAAAGCCUACCAAGGCGACGAUCUUUAGCUGGUCUGAGAGGAUGAUCAGCCACACUGGGACUGAGACACGGCCCAGACUCCUACGGGAGGCAGCAGUGGGGAAUAUUGGACAAUGGGCGAAAGCCUGAUCCAGCAAUGCCGCGUGAGUGAUGAAGGCCCUAGGGUUGUAAAGACUCUUUUACCAGGGAUGAUAAUGACAGUACCUGGAGAAUAAGCUCCGGCUAACUCCGUGCCAGCAGCCGCGGUAAU
rnacentral:rRNA from 1 species